UUGUCGAGUCUCCAUUUGUGAAUAUCCAUUUGAGAAAUGCUUGCAAGAAUAUGGACUACAAGAUUACAAGAAUAAAAUGCGGAAUGGAAACGAAAGAUUAGAAUACACAUUGAACUUCAAAAACAAAGGAACUAGGCUUUAUAAUGUGGCUACAAUUGACUACAUUUCAUACAUUGGUUCAAUGGUUAAGAUCGAGGUAGAAGAACUCCUUGAAAAUGAAACUUCCAACAUUGAAACAAAAUCAAGCAUGGCAGAAGAGAAACAACGACGCUAGUCUCCGCUUGCCGAAAUCAAGAUGGCUUCUAACCUUGAACAUUUCAAACAUUACAACUCAAUGGUUGCAACCGAUGAACUAUUCAAUCAAGUUACAUUUGUUUCAUUGUGUGCAAUUCCUCUUUAUGGAUAUCAAAGGUAUAGACAGUUAUUCAAGAAUGAAAUAAAAUAUAGAAUGUUUUCA